UACAGAGGUCCCGAGCGUUGUUCGGAUUCACUGGGCGUAAAGAGCGCGCAGGCGGUCGGAUAAGUCGAAAUGUGAAAGCCCCCCGGCUCAACUGGGGAGGGUCAUUCGAUACUGUUCGACUCGAAGGCAGGAGAGGGAAGUGGAAUUCCCGGGUGUAGUGGUGAAAUGCGUAGAUUAUCGGGGAGGAAACACCGGUGGCGAAGGCGGCUCUCUGGACCACUACUGACGCUGAGGCGCGAAAGCUAGGGGAGCAAACAGGG
rnacentral:rRNA from 1 species